rnacentral:lncRNA from 1 species
AGACGCAGAUGGCACUCGGGGUAAUGGCGGGGGCCAUUCGACGAGGGACGAGAUGUCGUCGAAGCGGAAGAGAACAGCUAAAGAUGAUUCGGAUGACGACGACGACGACGACGACGACGACGGCGAUGACGAUGAUGAGAGGCCACCUAAGCGAUAGUGCCUGGUGAUCAUCUUGCCUCCCCAGUUCGACUGUUGCUUGUUAAUGGACCGGAGACUGAGAUGGCCAGGUUGGGGAUAAGAUCU